rnacentral:rRNA from 1 species
UAACCGGCGAUUUCCGAAUGGGGAAACCCAGUGUGAUUCGUCACACUAUCAUUACGUGAAUACAUAGCGUAAUGAAGCGAACCGGGGGAACUGAAACAUCUAAGUACCCCGAGGAAAAGAAAUCAACCGAGAUUCCCCCAGUAGCGGCGAGCGAACGGGGAGCAGCCCAGAGUCUGAAUCAGCUUGUGUGUUAGUGGAACGGUCUGGAAAGUCCGACGGUACAGGGUGAUAGUCCCGUACACCAAAAUGCACAGGUUGUGAACUCGAAGAGUAGGGCGGGACACGUGGUAUCCUGUCUGAAUAUGGGGGGACCAUCCUCCAAGGCUAAAUACUCCUGACUGACCGAUAGUGAACCAGUACCGUGAGGGAAAGGCGAAAAGAA